GGGCGGCGGCGGCGGCCCAGGGAUGGGCGCUGGCGGCGGCGGCGGCGGUUUCGGCGGCGGCCACGGCCCGGGGCGCGGCGGAUUCGGAGGCUUUGGCGGAGGCGGCGGGGGCGGCGGCAUGGGCGGCUUCAACGGCAACAGCUCGCAGAUGGGCGGCAACAGCUACAACAGCUUCAUGUAGAGGGAUUCAGCAGCUUCAUGUGGUUUCCGGAGCCGGGGCCGGUGACCUGACCUGACUGGUGACGUCGUGCAGUGAGCUGUGGCGCCGCCCUGUUCUGGCGUGACGCGGUGUUUUAACGUGGCCGACCGCGCGGUGGGGUGCUUUGGCCGCCAGGCCUGUCUCACUGCACGCAGUACGACGUAGCCCAUUACAUCUGCAGCGCCGGGCGCGGCCGUACAACGCACUGGGCCGGCACGGACGGUCCCAUUGGCCGCCCAGCACUGGCCAGUCGGUAGCUGGGAGGCGGCUGGGGCCAGUUGGUUGCCAGUGAGUUCUCUGGCUCGUCGCACCCCGUGUGUCUGUGCGCCGUGGCCAGUCGGGACAGCACGGUACGGAGCGGCGGCGCCGGGCUGACAGUAUCGUAGCGGACCGGGACGGGGAUAUGACAGUGUUGUAGCGGCCGGCCGAUUAGGACAGGAGUGUACGGAACGGCGACCGGGCACGGGGAUAUGACAAUAGUGUAGCGGCCGGCUGGAGGCUCGAAAUCAUGGCGCCGUGUGUGAUCGACAUGUGCUGAACCCAAUGUUCAGGCUCUGAUCUGGAGUAGGACGCAUAAGACGCAUCAUCCGUGUGAUUUGGAGAUCAACAAACUGGGGUGUGGAGGGUAUGUCGGUUUCGGGAUCACUGGAUAGCAUAUACUCAGUGACGGGAACUGGGCCCUUCCCAUGGAGAGCUGUGCCGCGCGCCUGUGCCCCGCGGUGGCCAUUACCGCUGUGCGGGCGGCCCGCUGCUGAUUCCCGCUGUCUCACGGCCGGCGUAGUCACACGGUCUCUCAGACUGUGCAUGUGUGUGUGCGUAUGUGUGUGUGUGCUAGUUCGGUGUGGUGUGCUGGCGUCACUUUCAUUGGUUCUGUUCAUAAUUCGCUGUGUGUGCUGGGUGGACUGUCUUCGUGGAGCUUGGAAUACAGAGCUGGACGCGUUCCC